rnacentral:lncRNA from 1 species
UUAUAUUGUAUAUGAAGUCAUAGUUGACCACUGAAUCAGUUUGUUUCUCUUAUUAUAGUAAUGAUGCCGGUUACCCGAAGCAAGAAUACCGGUAAGCAAGUAGAUGUGGCUGCCGGAGAGGGGACUAGUAAGUCACCCACUAUACCAGCUAAUCAAAGUGAGGCUCCAGCUGAGCAUGCAUCAGAAACUUUCUCCAGUCCGGAAGAAAUAAGGGGGAGGAGAACUAUAUCCGCAGAGCCACCU